rnacentral:rRNA from 1 species
AUACGUAGGGGGCAAGCGUUAUCCGGAAUCACUGGGCGUAAAGGGUGCGUAGGUGGCUUAUCAAGCCAGAGGUGAAAGGCAUUGGCUCAACCAAUGUAAGCCUUUGGAACUGAUUAGCUUGAGUGCAGGAGAGGUAAGUGGAAUUCCUAGUGUAGAGGUGAAAUUCGUAGAUAUUAGGAGGAACACCGAUGGCGAAGGCAACUCCCCUGGGCCUGUACUGACGCUCAUGC